AGCGAACGCUGGCGGCAUGCCUAACACAUGCAAGUCGCACGGGGGGGCUUCGGCCUCCCAGUGGCGGACGGGUGAGGAACGCGUAGGGACCUGUCGAGGGGUGGGGGAUAACCGCGGGAAGCUGCGGCUAAUACCGCAUGACGCCGCGGCGUGACAGCCGGGGCCAAAGGCGAAAGCCGCCCGCCGAGGGGCCUGCGUCCGAUUAGCUGGUUGGCGGGGUAGCGGCCCACCAAGGCGUCGAUCGGUAGCUGGUCUGAGAGGGUGAUCAGCCACACCGGGACUGAGACACGGCCCGGACUCCUACGGGAGGCAGCAGUGGGGAAUAUUGGACAAUGGGCGCAAGCCUGAUCCAGCAAUGCCGCGUGGGUGAAGAAGGUCUUCGGAUUGUAAAGCCCUUUCGGCGGGGACGAUGGUGACGGUACCCGCAGAAGAAGCCCCGGCUAACUUCGUG
rnacentral:rRNA from 1 species